CAAAACCUAUUUACAAUGGCGGCACUUCAUCUUAUUAGAGGAACUUGUAUUAUAAUCGACAAUCCCCGAUAAUUUUCACUUUAAUUUAAAAUUUAUAUACCGCCAUCUAAAGAACUAAUCUUACAAUUCUAUUCUUAACAACUAAAUAAAAAGUUAGGUCAAGGUGUAAUCAAUAUUUUAGUAAAUAUGAGUUACAUUAAAAACAAUUUAAGGAUUAUUUAAUAUAAAUUUUAUAUAAAAAAGGAUUUAUAAGUAAUGUAAUUAUUAUUAUUAUAU
rnacentral:rRNA from 1 species